rnacentral:tRNA from 1 species
GCCCAGCUGGCUCAGUCCGGGGAGCAUGCGACUCUUGAUCUCAGGUGGUGAGUUCGAGCCCCACCUUGGGUG